rnacentral:tRNA from 1 species
GUGGGAAUAGCUUAUCCUCAGAGCGCAUGCUUAGUAUGCAUGAGGUCUUGGGUUCAAUCCCCAGUACUUCUA